AUUGACUUUAAGUAUAACUUCAUCUUGUUCUUCCAGAAGUCAUACUUUACUCCAUCGAACCUGGGAGGUUUGUUCGAUGCAAGACCAGUACCGUUUUCACCAUUUGAAGUCAUAGUUGUUGUUGUAAGAUGUUAGUCUGACUUCAACGGAACUUGGCUCUAAUACCACUUAUUGGAUCGAGAUCCGAGGCUAUAAGGGGGGAUACUAGCCUAUUUUCGAUUUAUACAGGUUGAUUGCGGAAUUAUCUGUAAAUGCUUAAUAAACAAAUGGUUGAACAAUAAUGAUAUAAAGAUAUUAUAAUUUUGAUUGAUAUAAUAUUGUAAUUAUUACUCUUCGAAGCUUACCACAGUAUAUGAAUACUGAGUCAACUUGCUUGAUAGUGUUUUACACACAACUAUAGUAUAUGAAUACUAAGUUAUAUUGUAAACACAAAUUGUAUUGUAGAGUAAAUGACCAGAUAACUGGAUAUAUUGAUAAGCAAGUAAAUGACCAGAUAACUAGAUAUAUUGAUAAGCAAGUAAGUGACCAGAUAACUAGAUAUAUAUGAUUAGUAAUACUUGAACAAAUAUAAGGAUUUAAAGCAAUGAAUAUAACCUCAGAUGGUUGACCAGAUAACUGGAUGAGGGAUCUACGUAAAGUAGUCAACCUCUGUAUUUGACCAGAUAACUGGAAGAGGGAUCCUUUUUAAUCAAGUGUUGUUUUUAGAUAUUUUAGAUAAAAGAUAAAACUAUAAUUAACAGAGAACAACACAAGAGAUUUAUACUGGUUCACCCAAACAAGGGCUAGUCCAGUCCCGACCAACUGCCGGAAUUCACUCGCCUAAAGGUUAUGGCAAAACCUUAGAGUAUCAAGGAAACUCUUAAGAACCUCUCUAAGCUUUAAGGCUACUUCGCAUAGGAACCAGUCUUUUACGGGUAGACUCACACCUUAGAGUAUCAAGGGCACUCUUAAGAACCUCUAACUUUUGCGGGUAAGUUAGUACCUUAGAGUAUCAAGGAACUCUUAAAAACCUCUCUAAGCUUUGAGGCUACUUCGCUUAGGAACCAGUCUUUUACGGGUAGACUCACACCUUAGAGUAUCAAUGGCACUCUUAAGAACCUCUAACUUUUACGGGUAAGUUAGUACCUUAGAGUAUCAAGGAACUCUUAAAAACCUCUGAAAUCUUUAAAGGUAAACUCGACCUAAGAGUUUUCCCGGAAACUCUAUAAAACCAAACUAGAGCUUUAUGGUUGAGCUCAAAAACCUUCUCUCACACUUUGGUACUAUUGAGACAACCCUCUCAACCAAAGUGGACACACACAAGAGGUGAUUACAGGAGUAGAAUAUUAAAGCAAACAACACUUCUUACUUGUAAAGAUGAACAAGAAGAUUAGAAGAAGAAGUUGGAGAGCUUUGGAAAGCUAGGACACUUGAGCACUUGAAAGCUUGGAAGCUUUGAUGCAAAAACGUGUGGGCAAGUGUGGAAUGAAAGCUCUUGAGUUUGCUUGUAGCGUGGUGAGUGAAAAUGAGGGGUUUACCCUUCUAUUUAUAGCCUUGGUCACUCAAUGUCCACCCUUGGAUCUUCAAUGGAUGACUCCUUGAUUUCUUACAUAAAUCCAAACUUUGUCUUUGAUCUUAUCUUGAAUAGUGCUUUUCUUGGAUAGAGUUUGUUGGAGAAUCUUAUCUUUGUAUAAAUUCAAACUUGAAUAGUGUUUUGUCCCCUUGGAAUAUUAUACCUUGAAUAAAGUGUCAAAAGAUAGUAAUAAUAAUAUUCAAGGUAAAAAUGUAAUUAUUCCAAAUAAUAAUAUUCAAGGUGAAAAUGCAAUUAUUCCAAAUAAUAAUAUUCAAGGUGAAAAUGCAAUUCUCCCUAUUUGACUUUUAACUUUGACUUAAACCCUUAACUCAAAUGAUUAAUUAAUUAACUAGAGUUAGGUUUAAUAUCGAUUGACUUAUUUACCCCCUAUUGAUUAAUAGUGUAAUUAGGGUUUAAAUUGACAUGAUUAAAAUAUAGUCCUAUGUCGACAAUUUUGAUUCUACACAUCCAACCCAUCAUCUGGUUUCAUUUACCUUCCCCCCUGUGAAUACAAGGUAAGUGAUCUAUUGUUUCCAUUUUUUGUUUUCAUACAUUGAAUGGUUCUUUUCUUUACCCAUAGCAUAUAAUGGCCUCUCCACCAUCAUUUGCAAAUCAAGAUCAACCUUCCAUCUUGCAAGUUUCCCCCAACACCAAUUCAAUUUUCGUCACCCCUCCUCCAUAUCGUUCACAACAGUUUUCAUACGAUCACACAAACACAUCUUGCAACGUUAGCUUGAAAGUUCGGUUCAAUUCUCCUCAGUGUCAGACCAAUGAUAAUACCAUACCUUGUGAGGCUGAUUUUUCGACCUUUUCACUUCCUCAUGACACAGCUGGCACCAUAUUUCAGUCAGGGUUUGUCCUACACACAUCUGCUGAGAUUAGGGAAUCCUCUGCUAAUAUCAAUGUUGCGACUGCUAAAACACCUAGUAGUCUGAAUUUUCAAUUCAAUUCCCCUGAUCGGCAGACCAAUGUUAAUCCUUCAGCUUGUAGUGAUAAUGUUUCUACCCCUUGGAUGAUGAUGUCGUAUGUAGCACAUUUUUUGAUUCUGAAUUUGUCAAAUCCACCUCUGAUGAUAUUACGCAAUCCUCUGCUGAAAUUUUGCCUACCUCCGCUAUUUUAGGCUGCGGAACUGAUAAAACCCCUGACAUUUAUUGUAAACGAAAAUACUCCUCUCCUGCCCAUGAUCAUUCAUCUCCUGAUCAUCGAAAUGCCUCUUCUAGUUUUAGUCAAUGCAAUAAGCCAUGUCCUGUUGUAGAUCAGGUUUUCCCUUCGUAUGAAUUGGUUGUUCAAUCCUAUUACGAUUUCGCAUCCGCUAUGGGAUUUUCCGUUCGUUUAGGAUCGACAAAGAAUGUAGUUGACAAAGGAAGCGGCCAAAAAAUUCUUGUCAUGAAGAGGUUGUUAUGUUCUAAACAAGGCAGUCCAAGUCUGAUACUUCCACCGACAAACGGUAAUAGACGAAAGAAUGGGGUUUCUAGAUGUGGUUGCCUCGCAAGUAUCAAAUUUAAAAGAAUAGACAGAUCUGAUAAUUGGGUCACUGAUACUGUUAUUUUUUAUCAUAAUCACCCAUUUACGACCUUCUCGAAAAUUCGAUACCUUCCAAUAAAUAGGUCAAUAUCUCAGACCUCUAAAUUACUUUUCUCCUCUCUUGCUGAGGUUAAUGUUCCAGUAUCGCAACAGGCAGCCUAUUUCUCUAAUCAAUUUGGGGGAGUCCAAAAUAUGGGUUGCAUGAAAAUGGACAUUAACAAUAUGGUCCGUGAUGAUCGCAUAGAUUUUAAAAAUUAUGAUGUCGAUUUGAUUGUUGAAGAAUUCGAAAUGAACAAGUCAGAAAAUGAGCAAUUCUUUUACGACCUCGUCAAAGAUGACGAAGGUCGUUUGAAAUACCUUUUUUGGGCCGAUCCUACAAAAUUAUAAGUUAUUUGGAGACUCUGUUACUUUCGACACUACCUACAAAACCAAUGUUUAUUCAAUGGUGUUCGGCAUGUUCUGCGGUGUCAACCACCACCGGAAGACUACAAUAUUCGGUAGUGCAUUUGUAAGGUAUUUUCUUUUUACAUUUUUUCUCAAAUUACCAUUAUCUUUGACCCCUAUCAUCUUCUUUUGCAAUAAUUUUUAUUCUAUUAUAUUCUGUUAUUGUGUGCAGUAAUGAAAAUGUAGAUGUCUUUACGUGGUUGUUCAAUACGUUUAAACAAUGUAUGGGACACCCUCCUCAAUCAAUUAUUACUGAUCAAGAUUUGGCUAUGAAAGGUGCAAUAUCACGUUCUUUUCCUAAAUCAUUUCAUCGUUUGUGUCGAUGACACAUAACAAACAAGUUGUCUACCAAGGUCCCAACAGUAUGCAAAACACCAAUUCUCUUAACACGUUUUACAAGAUUAUCAAAUUUUCUGAGACUCCGAAAGAUUUCGAAGAGUCAUGGUCUCUUUGGAUCAUAGAGAAUAAUGUUUCUUCCAAUGUAUGGUUGAAAAGUUUAUACGACAUCUGUUAUUCUUAGGUGUCAUGCUUGAUGUGUUCGCAUUUUUUUGCCGGAAUGCAUUCAACUCAGAGGAGCGAAGGCAUGAAUUCUUUCUUGAAGACCAAAGUAACAGUGAAGAACCUAUUGUUUAGCUUCAUUCGACGUUACCAGAACAUGAUAAAUACCAUUCGUGAAUCCGAGAAUUUGGACGAUCACAAAGAUACUUUCUGGCACCCCAGAUUUAUUACGUCUAUGGAUAUUGAGAAAGACGUUCUUAGUUUCUUUACAACUGCUAUCUUUCUUCUAUUUCAGAAGGAAAUACGGAAAAGCUUCUUUUACCACCGAACGACAUGUCCUCUGAGGUAUAGGAAAAAAAUUUUUUCCUAUCAUUCUUCUACAUUUUCAAUUUUCUCCCAACACUUUCUUCUUAUCUCUUAAAGGAUUCUCUUAAAGGAUAUUAACUAUCUACCGGUUCUUUCUUUAGAAAGACAUACAGUUUUAUUUAAACUCACUCUCAUGAAAGGUAAUACUACACCGUCUUGCUCAUGCCAUCGAUUUGAAUACAGCGGUGUUCCAUGCUCUCAUCUAAUACACUAUUUCAUUGUCGACGGUUAUCGAACUUUACCAAAUGAUCUUAAAAUGCCAAGGUGGAACAAACUAUGCCUUACUAACAGAAUUGCUCCUUCUCUUUCACUACCUGAUAAUCCCCUGUCCAAGUAUGUAUUAAUGUCACAGACAAUGAUGAAUUAUGCGAAGAUGGGACAAUCUCAACUAGAUAUACUGCUCAAAUAUGGUGAAGAGGUUCUUCAGAAACUAAGUGAUACUACCGUUGUUUCAAAUUUACAUUCAAGAACAUCAAUCACAAGAACCAGAAAACCAAAGAAUACGCCUGUGCUUGUUGGUCCUCCAGCGAAGGUUAAAACCAAGGGUAGUGGUAAGAGCGGAAGACCAACCAAAAUUGAUGCUGCUCGAAUGAAGAGCGCAAAAGAAAUAUAUCACGAUCUUGCUGCGAAGAAUAAAUGAUACUCUUCUAAUAAGUUGUUUCUGUACACUAUGUACUCUGCAUCUGCUAUUAUCAGAACUUAGAUAUACUACUACUCACGUUUGUUCCUAUACUUUGCUGUAUUCUUCUGCUAGUAUGUUGUUCUUGGGAAAUAUGUAGUCUGCAUAUGCUAUUAUCAGAACUUAGACCAAUUAAUACUUACACUCAUUCCUAUACUUUGUCUUAUUUUUACUCAUACUAUGUUGUAGCCCUCUACUAUUAUCAGAAUUUAUAUCUACUAAUACUCAGAUUUGUUCCUAUACUUUGAUGCACUCUGCUGCUAAUAUAUCUUGUACCUCUGCUAAUAUCUUUUUAUAGUACUUACACUAACACUAACAUCUUAUAAUUUGAAGUACUGCUCUGUUAAUUUGUUCUAUCGCUACCUGCAAGCUCGCUUCUGCUAUUAUCAGAACCUAGAGCGCUAUUUAAUUCUACUUCUUCCUAUACUUUGUCGUAUUCCUCUGCUAAUAUGUUGUUUUGUCUACAAUUUAGUCUGCAUCUGCUACUAUGACAAUGCAUCUACUAUUAUCAGAACUUACAUAUAAUAGUAUUUACACCUCUUCCUAUACUUUGUUUUAUUUUCUCUGCUAAUAUGUCGUUUUCAUGACUAUGUUGUCUGCAUCUGCUAUUAUCACAACAUAGACCAAUUAAUACUUACACUCAUUCCUAUACUUUAUCGUAUUUCAUUCCUAUACUUACCACCUGUAUAAUGUGUAUUCCUCUGUUUAAUGUGUUGUAUUGUAUAAUAUGUAGUAUGCAUAUGCUAUAAUCAUAUGUAUUCCACCAAUAUGUUGUUUUCUCUACUAUAUAUGUAGUCUGCACUAUUAUCAGAACUUAGACGAAGUAGUACUUCCACCUCUUCCUAUACUUUGGUUUAAUCUUCUGCUAAUAUGUUGUUUUUCCUACUAUGUAGUAUGGAUCUCCUAUUAUCAGAACUUAAACCAAUUACUACUUCCACAUUUUCCUAUACUUUGAUGUAUUCCUCUGCUAAUAUGUUGUUUUCCAUACUAGUCAGACUUAUAGUUAAUAUUUACUUCUUUGCAAAAAAUAUAUCACUAGUAAGACUGAUAGUUAAUAGUAAUGUGCUGCAAAACAAAGAAAUCAUGAUCUUGUUUAACUCUAUUUGAACUUGAAGUCAUAAUGGAUAAACAUAUGAGCAUCACGUAAUGCCACUCGUAGUAUGUCGUGGACAAUUUUCUCCCGAAUGUUAUCGACGUCCUUCUUGCUCCACAGUACUGGCUCACCCAAACAUAUGCAUUCCAUGGAUGCCAUUAUGUAUAUCCCUGUAUCCUCAGGAUUUUUAAGGAAUGCCUGAGGAAAAUGAGGAGAUGAUUCACAAACCCAAGUAGACAGGUUGUGGUCACAAUAAAUCUCACGGAUGUAAUGAUCCAACCAAAGAGUCUGCCAAAAAAUAUAAUAAGUAUUGUUUCAUUCAUACACAGUUUUAUUCAUAUAAUGUAACAACAUAGACUACCAUUUACCAUAUUCUUGUUCUGCUUCAUCAUUUCUAUGUUGUCUUCGUACGGACAACAGUGUAUGUACUUCUUCUUCGUUAUGUCUAGCUGUAUCAAAUGCCAACAACUGUAAAUUUCAAUCGGCGCUAAUAUUGUAUGCAUCACGUCUCAUUUGUCUACUUUCUCGAUCAAGAUUUUCUUCAACUCCGCAAAUUCAAUCAUGUUCAAGUUCCUGUUAGGAGCGAUCCCUUUGAUUUGUUUCUAAUUUCACCAAAUACCAAAGUCAUUGUAAAGUUUCAAAUUAUUUCAAAAACUUCGUCGUAGAUAAUAUAUUACCAUUUUUAUUGGGUCAAUGAACUUCGCAGAAUGAACGUUUAUUCGUCUACAUGACAUUUUGCGUUGGAGAACUCUGAUAAAUAGGGAGAUGCACUACAAUUAUAGAAAAUCACAUUAGUGUAAGUCAUGUUAAAUAAAUGUAAGAUUCAUAUAGCUUACGUGGCUACGGACAUGAUUUUUAACGAGUAAUUCAAUCACUCAUGUCGAAUCACAUCUAACCGGACCAAUUUCCAAAAUACCUUCUUUCGCAGCAAUUUCUUGUAAUUUACCGCACUCCUUAAUGUCCUUCACAUUCAUUCCAGCCCUAGUUAUAUGGUUUUUCCACAUCUUCUCUUUCAUUAUCCUCUCCAUCCAGUGGCGUAUCCAGGAUUCCUCGGCAGGGGGGGCAAGAUUCGCCGAAGGCGAAAAAUUUUUUUUGUACUAAUUAAAAAACCUAUACAAAUUUUGGCAUGACCUAUUCAUAUAAUUGAUUAUAAAAACCUAUAAAAAAUCAAUACAUUCAUAUUCCAUAAUUAAUAUUCAAUACAUUAAUUAAUAUUCAAUACAUUAAUUAAUAUUCAAAUUAAAAAUAAAUACAUUCAUUUAAUUACUAAAAGAUGCAUUUUAAGUGGCUUUUGAGAACUAUAAAAGAAGAGCUAUUUGAUUAAAAAAUAGAUUUUGAAAAUUAGUGUGCUGAAAUGAAUUUAUAGUUUAUAUGUUUCACCAAUUUAAUGUUUAAGUGUUUUUAUAUAUAAAAUUAUGUAUGAAAUAAAAACAUGCGUUGAAGAUCUGAAAUGAGAUGAUUUCUCAUCAUUCAAAACAACAUGGAAACUGCAUCAAAAAACAGCAUGGGAACUCUCAAGGGAAAAACACUUCUUUGAUAAUGUGAGAAAAUGGUUUUCACAAAUUAUUUCUAUGAUUAUGGAGGAUUAGGUGGGAAAACUAUAUACCAAAGACUCACUUAGUAGUUUGCCACUUUAUUAUUUGAUCUCCAUUUGAUGAUGAAGAAGAAGAAACAGCAAAAUGGAAAAAGAUCAAAACUCAAAAGACAAUGCCAACAGAAAAAUGGAAAAUAAAAUGUACACAAAUAAAAACUCAGCCACACAUAGGACCACAAGACAAUGACAAAUUGAGACUUUCAUAAUAAUAUUUUGCAUUUUGUUUCUCAAAGUUUUCGAUGCACACACACCUUCGAUUCCUGAGACUCUGACUCUGAGAGAAACCUUAUUUGAUUUCUGGAUUCUUUCCAAACUCCCUCUAGAUUCCUCCUCUGUAGCUUUCAAACAGUCACACUGAUCCUAAAUCAAGAAUAAAAAAAAAUACAAAUCGUUAGAAGAAAUAAAUUAAACAUUUCUACAAGAUGAGAAGACAGAAAGAGACGAGCCUUGGUUAAGAAAAGGGGCAAGAACCAGAUAAUAAGACGAAAUCAUCAUCUCACAGAAAAGAAUGACAGAAACCCAAUACAGAGAUACAAGCACAGUGUAAAAGAUCGAGUCAGAAAAAAAAAUCAAGAAACGAGUUUUAGAGAGAAGCAGCUGCAGAGCUAAACCAACAACAAAUCAACAAUACAGCAGUUUGGGGGUAUGGGAGGAGGAGAGAUUGGGGAAGAAAUUGGAGGAGGAGGAGGAGAAAUCGAUAGUAUUGGGGAAGAAGAUUUGGGGGAAAGAAAUUUAUAUAAUAUAUAAAUAUUGUGAAAUUUAUAUAUUAACCCUUAAAAAUAUUAAUAUAUUGUGAAAAUUAUACUAAACCCCCUAUAAAAAAUUUAAUUACAUAUAGGUCCUCCAAAAAUUUCCAAAUUUUAGGGGGGGCAAUUGCCCUCCCUUGCCCCCCCUUGGAUACGCCACUGUCUCCAUCCUAGCCUUCCUCACGUCUUCCUCUAACAUUUCUUAAUAUUUUUAUCACAUAUCUGAAUUUUAUGUUAACUGUUGGAUCGUGAUCCGAGGCUAUAAGGGGGGAUGAACUGAGAGGUAGCAUGUAACAACUUGUUUUCUUUAACAUGGGAGGUUCCUUCAUGUAGAUCCUCCAAUGCUUUCCAUACCUUGUGAGCUGUAUCCAAGCAUCGAAUUCUUCUGUACUCAGAUUCAUUGAGUGCUUCAUAUAGAGCAUUCAAUGCUCUUGAGUUGUUGUUUUCCUUGAGGAUGUCCAUUUCUCCCCAAGUCUUUUCAUUGCUUGUUGGAAUUUCAUAAUCCUCUAAUAUGAUCUUCCAUACUCCAUUGUUGAUUGACUUCAAGUAUAACUUCAUCUUGUUCUUUCAGAAGUCAUACUUUACUCCAUCGAACCUGGGAGGUUUGUUUGACGCAAGACCAGUGUUGAAUUCACCAUUUGGUGCCAUAGUUGUUGUUGUAAGAUGUUAGUCAAACUUCAACGGUACUUGGCUCUGAUACCACUUGUUGGAUCGUGAUCCGAGGCUAUAAGGGGGGAUAAUAGCAUCUUUUCGAUUUAUACAGGUUGAUUGCAGAAUUACCUGUAAACACUUAAUAAAUAAAUGGUUGAACAAUAAUGAUAUAGCGAUAUUAUGACUUUGAUUGAUAUAAUAACGUAAUUAUUACUCUUCGAAGCUUACCACAGUAUAUGAAUACUGAGUCAACUUGCUUGAUAGUGUUUUACAAACAACUAUAGUAUAUGAGUACUAAGUUAUAUUGUAAGCACAAAUUGUAUUGUAGAGUAAAUGACCAGAUAACUGGAUAUAUUGAUAAGCAAGUAAAUGACCAAAUAACUUGAUAUAUUGAUAAGCAAGUAAAUGACCAGAUAACUAGAUAUAAAUGAUAAGUAAAUGCUUGAACAAAUAUAUGAAUAAGGAUUUAAAGCAAUGAAUAUAACCUCAGAUAGUUGACCAGAUAACUGGAUGAGGGAUCUGCGUAAAGUAGUCAACCUCUGUAUUUGACCAGAUAACUGGAAGAGGGAUCCUUUUCAAUUAAGUGUUGUUUAGUUGUUUUUAGAUGAAAGAUAAAAACUAAAGUUAACAAAUAACAACACAAGAGAUUUAUACUGGUUCACCCAAACAAGGGCUAUUCCAGUCCCGACCAACUGUCGGAAUUCACUCGCCUAAAGGUUACGGCAAAACCUUAGAGUAUCAAGGAAACUCUUAAGAACCUCUCUAAGCUUUAAGGCUACUUCGCUUAGGAACCAGUCUUUUACGGGUAGACUCACACCUUAGAGUAUCAAGGGCACUCUUAAGAACUUCUAACUUCUGCGGGUAAGUUAGUACCUUAGAGUAUCAAGGAAUUCUUAAAAACCUCUCUAAGCUUUAAGGCUACUUCGCUUAAGAACCAGUCUUUUACGGGUAGACUCACACCUUAGAGUAUCAAGGGACUCUUAAAAACCUAGAAAUCUUUCAAGGUAGAUUCGACCUAAGAGUUUUCCCGAAAACUCUAUAAAACCAAACUAGAACUUUAUGGUUGAGCUCGAAAACCUUCUCUCACACUUUGGUACUAUUGAGACAACCCUCUCAACCAAAGUGGACACACACAAGAGGAGAUUAGAGGAGUGGAAUAUUAAAGCAAACAACACUUCUUACUUGUAAAGAUGAACAAGAAGAUUAUAAGAAGAAGUUGCAGAGCUUUUGAAGCUUUGGAAAGCUAGGACACUUGAGCACUUGAAAGCUUGGAAGCUUGGAGGCAAAAACGUGUGGGCAAGUGUGGAGUGAAAUCUCUUGAGUUUGCUUGUAGUGUGGUGAGUGAAAAUGAGGGGAUUACCCUUCUAUUUAUAGCCUUGGCCACUCA
rnacentral:lncRNA from 1 species